rnacentral:rRNA from 1 species
GAUGAACGCUAGCGGCAGGCCUAAUACAUGCAAGUCGAACGGUGUCUUCGGACAUAGUGGCGCACGGGUGCGUAACACGUAUGCAACCUACCUUACAUUGGGGGAUAGCCUUUCGAAAGGGAGAUUAAUACCGCAUAAGACAGUAGCUGGGCAUCCAGCAGCUGUUAAAGAUUUAUCGAUGUAAGAUGGGCAUGCGUCCAAUUGGCUAGUUGGUGAGGUAACGUCUCAACAAGGCAAUGAUGGGUCGGGGAACUGAGAGGUCAAUCCCCCACACUGGCACUGAGCUACGGGCACGACUACUACGGGAGGCAGCAGUAGGGAAUAUUGGGCAAUGGACGCAAGUCUGACCCAGCCAUGCCGCGUGCAGGAUGAGGGCGUUAUGCGUUGUAAACUGCUUUUAUACAGGAAGAAACGACUCUUGCGAGAGGCAUUGACGGUACUGUAUGAAUAAGCACCGGCUAACUCCGUGCCAGCAGCCGCCGUAACAC